rnacentral:rRNA from 1 species
GACGAACGCUGGCGGCGUGCUUAACACAUGCAAGUCGAACGAAGAGCGAUGGAAGCUUGCUUCUAUCAAUCUUAGUGGCGAACGGGUGAGUAACGCGUAAUCAACCUGCCCUUCAGAGGGGAACAACAGUUGGAAACGACUGCUAAUACCGCAUACGAUCUGACCUCGGCAUCGAGGAUAGAUGAAAGGUGGCCUCUACAUGUAAGCUAUCACUGAAGGAGGGGAUUGCGUCUGAUUAGCUAGUUGGAGGGGUAACGGCCCACCAAGGCGAUGAUCAGUAGCCGGUCUGAGAGGAUGAACGGCCACAUUGGGACUGAGACACGGCCCAGACUCCUACGGGAGGCAGCAGUGGGGAAUCUUCCGCAAUGGACGAAAGUCUGACGGAGCAACGCCGCGUGAGUGAUGACGGCCUUCGGGUUGUAAAGCUCUGUUAAUCGGGACGAAAGGCCUUCUUGUGAAUAGUGAGAAAGG